rnacentral:rRNA from 1 species
GUUGGUYGUACCAGAAGUCGCUGYGCURACCGCAAGGARGUAGGCGCCCAAGGUAUGGYCGAUGAUUGGGGUGAAGUCGUAACAAGGUAGCCGUAGGUGAACCUGCAGAAGGAUCA